rnacentral:rRNA from 1 species
AGCGAACGCUGGCGGCAGGCUUAACACAUGCAAGUCGAGCGGGCCCUUCGGGGUCAGCGGCGGACGGGUGAGUAACGCGUGGGAACGUGCCUUCUGGUUCGGAAUAACCCUGGGAAACUAGGGCUAAUACCGGAUACGCCCUUUUGGGGAAAGGUUUACUGCCGGAAGAUCGGCCCGCGUCUGAUUAGCUAGUUGGUGGGGUAACGGCCUACCAAGGCGACGAUCAGUAGCUGGUCUGAGAGGAUGAUCAGCCACACUGGGACUGAGACACGGCCCAGACUCCUACGGGAGGCAGCAGUGGGGAAUAUUGGACAAUGGGCGCAAGCCUGAUCCAGCCAUGCCGCGUGAGUGAUGAAGGCCUUAGGGUUGUAAAGCUCUUUUAUCCGGGACGAUAAUGACGGUACCGGAGGAAUAAGCCCCGGCUAACUUCGUG